rnacentral:rRNA from 1 species
UAGGGAAUAUUGCGCAAUGGCCUAACGGCUGACGCAGCGACGCCGCGUGUGGGAUGACGCCCUUCGGGGUGUAAACCACUGUUGCUCGAGACGAAUAGCGAGCUUUAGCUCGCCUGACGGUAUCGAGUGAGGAAGCACCGGCUAAAUCCGUGCCAGCAGCCGCGGUAAUACGGAGGGUGCGAGCGUUGUCCGGAAUCACUGGGCGUAAAGGGCGCGUAGGUGGUCAGGUAAGGGUGUGGUGAAAGUCCGGGGCUCAACCCCGGAUCUGCGGUGCCGACUGCUUGACUGGAGCAUUGCAGAGGCAGAUGGAAUUCCGGGUGUAGCGGUGGAAUGCGUAGAGAUCCGGAAGAAGACCGGUGGCGAAGGCGAUCUGCUGGGCAAUGGCUGACACUGAGGCGCGACAGCGUGGGGAGCAAA